CUUCAAUUUAUUUUUUCUUCCUAAUCACCUUGCAAGUGGGCUUUAUAAUUUCAGAGCUAGUAAUAGUGAUGACAUAUUUGUGCUUUAUUGCUAUGGCAACAGUGCUUCUCCUGAGACAAGGGCCAUGUAUUUUUGGUUCUCUGUUCUAAAAUCACAUGUUUACCAACAGAUACAGCUUUGUGAUUGUGGCUUUCAAUUUGAUUGCCCCGAGCAAUGUGUUGUGGAUACUACUGUAUUGCCCAGGUCUUCCCAUCAGGAUUGAGGCUGUUUUCACCCAGUUUUAAGGAGUGCUGUUGUCAAAAAAACCUUCAACAGUCAACCCUUUGGAAUUGCCUUCAGCUGAAAAAAAGCCUCCUUGUACAAGGUCAUAUUGCCGUAGCAGUCACAGCUUAAAUCCAGUGACUGGUAAAUUCUGGGGUUUAAACCACCCCAAAUCAAGACAACUCUGAAGAUCUACCCACGCUUCAGAGCUCACCAGGGUUCCUCCAUUUAAGCCUAAUUCCUUUUCCUCUUCCCAGUGUUAAUUCUAAGAGCACUACCUACUAAACCUCCUGUAUGCUAAUUUCAUUUUAGAGUCUGCUUCAUCAAUAACCUGACCUGCAACAGUUGCUUCUAGUAGUAGCCUGAGAAAUCAGAUGGAUUGGAACAUUUGCCAGCCAGCUGACAAUGAAGGCCAAACCACUGGUGGUAGACAGAACUUGGAUAGGUUCUGUAACAAGAUUUUGGUGCAAUUGUCAAAAUGUUUAUCAGCAAUAAACUGGAGAGAUAAACCAGGAGAAGCAAUGUAUCAUGUGCUUAAGAAAUACAGGAUAAAUAGUAUUGAUAAGGAUAACUAUUCUAGGGGUAAUUGAUGCUCUGGAGAAAAAAAAGGAAAGUCUGGGGGUUAUUAUCUAUUAAAAAGGUAACUGAAUGUCAGAGAGACUUCUUGGAAGCACUUAACAGUCUUUUAUUUCCUACAUACUAAGGACAGAGAAAGCUGAGGACUAGGAAGAGAGCCAAAUGGGAAUAGCACAGUUCUAAUAAAGGUUUAACAUUUAAGCUAGACAAAUCUUAUAUGUCAAAUUCAAAGUCCUGAUUGGGAAAAAAUGGGACCUUGACAUAAGGGAUGGGGUCAUAUGGGUGCAUGCCCUUGAAAAUAUUGAAUCUCCAAAUUCCAUUGAACUCUUUGGAGCUGUAGAAGUGGCACAUUUCUCUCUGUUAAAGGCUAGGGUCCCACUUGUCUUAAAGAAGGCCUCUCUCCUGCAAGACAUCAUGUGCCUUCCUCAAAAUCUGGACCUCGCUUUCCUCUUAAGUAAAAAGUCAAUAAGCAGAGAUGUCACACCAUAAUCUGGUCAUGGAAGUGACAAGCUUGUGAAGGGAGGUAGGGAGCAAUAUCCCAAAGAGCUGCAGGACCAAGACAGCUGGUCCCACAGAGGAACCGUGAAAACAAAAUUCAGGGAGAAGAUGAAAUUAUAUAUGGAAGAGUUUAUCUAUACAGAAGAACUGUUGUUUUAAAAACAUUCUGGCAAAACACUUUGGGAAAGACUCCAAAAGACAAUGCUAGGAUGUUUCUUAGCAACUUGGAGAAAAUGUGGCCCACUAUAAGUAGAAUAGGAGUGUCAAUAUUGCUAUGGCAGAUGGUAGUAAAAGAGGGGAAAUAGUUUGGAAAAAUGGGCAUGCCAGAGUGGACAUUUCAUGUAAGCCUGGGCAAACUGCUAGAUGACUAUGCUCUCAGCAGGGCCAGGAAAAUACUUCAUUUAACAAAGUAAUGAGGAAUAUGGUAGUGAAAAGCCUACCAGCAUUAGAACCUACAGCCUAACUGUGGAGUACAAUUUAUGAGAGGAAACAUGUUAGGGAAAUGGUCUCCUUAAUAAGAGUGGGGAUGAUAACAUUUCAAAAUAAUGGACUCUAGGUGGUGGCUUUUAACAGUUUAAAACAAGACAGUUUCAAUUAGUGUUGAAUUAGUGUUGAAAGUUGAAAUAUUGCCUAGAGGAGCAUGGCAGGCAGAGAGCUGCAGAUAUGGCUGAUAGAACACACUUUUCUUAGAGUCAAGAUAGAUGUGCAUUCAAUGAUAGCAUUGCCCAAUAUUUACAACAACUCCAGGAAGGCUGGUCAGGAGAUUAAAGGCAGUCCUCUUAACAAAAUGUCACAAUCUCUUGUCCAAUUUCCAGAUGCGAGUCAGUGUUCCAACCCUUGAACCCAAUGAAUGAAGAACAAGCUUGGUUCCCAAGAGAAAGUACCCUGGUAGCAUUCCAGCAAUUACACACUGUAAUGAUUACUUCUUUUCCCAAAGAGCACUAUAACCAUUUGCUUAAAUAACUGCACACUGGGAAAAGAAUACCCAAACCUAAUAUUCUGAGGAUUGUUGCAUGUAAGUACUGAGUUGCCAAUGAUAUCCAUGAACACAAAUUAUCUCACCUUCAUGGUUUGCAUGUGAGGCUAGGAAUAUAUGAAGGCCAGGUAAUAAAUGGGAUCCUGGUGCAAGUUCAGCUUGAGUGUGUCUACUGGUUCCAUGACUCAUCAAAAGGAAGAGCCCCGAACCCCUCCACCACCAACACUGACACAAUAGUGACAAUAUCAUAUUCCAGGUAAAACUGCAGAGAUUGAUACUAUCUUAUAAAUAGAAAGGAGACAGAGGUGGCGUCUUUAUCAUAUCUCCUUUCAGUUACCAAGUCUGGCCCUAUAAAACCAAAGAGAUCCUCGAAAAUACCGUAGAUUACCACAAACUCAGCCAAGCAGUAUCCCCACAUCAAGCUGUUGUAGAAGAGGUGGUUAUCUUGGCUAGAGAAGAUUAAUGUCACUUCAUGUAUAUGGUAUUUAGCCACUAAUCUCCCAAAAUGUUCUUUUCCAUCCCUACCAGAAAAGAAUAUCAGAAACAGUUAAUAUUCAUUUGGAAUAGAUAACAGUAUUCAUUUUUCAGUCUUGCAUCAAAGCUUUGCUAACUCUCCUACUGUCUGUUAUAAUACGGUCUGAAGAAACCUCGACUAUGUCUAUAUCAUGUAGAAUAUCAGACCAUUUUCACUAUACUGACAGCAUCAUGGUAAUAAAUAUGUAUAAUCAGGAAAUGGCAAGUACAAUAAAAGCCUUGGUAAGACACAUGUGAUUCAAAAGAUGUAAAGUGAGCCCGAUGGUGAUUCACAGGUUUGCUAUCAAUAAAUUUGUAAGGGUCUAGUGGUCCAGAACAGACUGGGACAUUAGUUUCAAAGAACAAGAUAGAUUAUUCCACCUCACACUUUCACCACAAAGAAAAGAAAGUUCAAUCCCUGAUAGGCUGAUAAGUUUUCUUGAGUUUUGGCAGCAACAUAUUCUACAGAUGACAGCAUUUUCCAAAGCUCCAUCCUAUGCACCCAGUGGCAUAGAGAGCUUCCAACACUGAAUAGGACUCAUAAUUCAGUAGCCUCUAAUCGUAGGUAGUAUCUGUAGUGAAAGAGGUAUCGUGUGGAGUAUAUGGCAAUCUGUAACACAACAGUCACAAUAUAGACUAAGAAGUUUCUGGAGAAAGACCAUACCAUCUGCAUCAGACUUUUGACAUAAAUAUAUAAGUUUUUAAUAAUUUAAUUCAAUAAUUUAAUACAAAUAUACUAUUUGUAUUAUAGUAAAUAUAAAUACCAUAUAAAUUUAAUGCAAUUAUUACAUCUAGACCUAGAUAUAGUUAUACAGAUAUCUAUACCUAUUCAUGUAUCUGUAUCUACAUAUCUAUAUCUAGCAGGCUGUAUUUGACCACCUACAUCAAGUAUGAAAACACCCUGAUUGAAAUACAAAAACCCCUUUAGUUUACCAUUUAUCCCACACUUGAGAAUAUUUUAGAGGUCUUCAGAUGCAAUUAGUUCAAAGUGUUCACUUGCAUGAAGAAUGGUGGUUUAUUAGAAAACAUAAAAGUUUGAUUUAUGAAAACCCUGUGUGUAAGAUGACCAGAUGUUCUGUUAAUGGUAGCUGCUCAACCAGCUCCUAGGUAUUCAGAUUACCCCUCUCAGUGAUCCUUCUUUCAAACAGCAUACUUUUCACUUCCUAUGUAGCAUCUCUACCCUUGGACCAGUAUUUGACUAGAGGACCCUGAGGCUCAUUGUCUUAUCUCCCUGUCUUUUCUCUCCAAUGCUCUGUCUAUGUUUCCAUUUGCCUCUUUAUACAAAGACCCUCUGCUCUCCAUGCUUCUCUGGCUCUUCAGAUGCUGUAUCUGUAACUCAUGUCAUUACCAUGAGAGAACUAGUUACCCUUUUAUUUUAUGUCAAAGAGGGAUCAUUUUCUAGAAGUAAGUUUCUCCAAACCUAUUGUUUGGAGGAUGAGGGGAGAUGUUUGUUUUCCAUUAUGGGCAGCUGUCUCACCCCACAACAUGACCCUUUACAAUGACUUAAACAACUCUUGAUAUAGAAAAAAAAAUGACUUCUCCAGAAAAGUCUCAUACAAUGACUUUUACCAGAAAAGAAUAUCAGAAACAGUUAUUUUAUUUAUCAACUUUAUUUAUUGACAAGAGUGAAAGAUCACAGUCAACUCUACUCUUUUUCCAAAGACCUGUUUACAUCACACAGAGAUAACUAAAAUACGUCAUUCCAGAGAUUAUCCUCGGCCUUUAAACUUAUAAUUCCCAUUGCCUAUCCAAAAUAAAAGCUUUCUUCUAUACAACAUUACAAUAGAACUAUUUGAAAAAUAGUUGCUUGGGCAGUAAAAACAUUCCCAGUUACUUCCCCCAGUAACUAUGAAAAGCCUCCGAUUUCUCCAAGGCAAAUACUGUUUUCCAGUUCAUUUGCACAAUAGGCUUCCUCUUAGCUUAGCUUUGGCCACGCCGAGUCUCAAAGGUAUUCAGCAGAGCCCUGGCUUUAUUUGUAUUCCUGCCUCUGUUAAUCUAUUCUUCCAACAGAUCUUCCUUUUAUGCACAUUUAAAAAAACCGCAAAUAAUCACUUUGAGUGCACAGAGAAUGAGAUAGGAUUUUAGUUUAUAUAUAAACAGAAAAUACCAACACAUUUUUUAAAAAAGAAUUAGAAAGACUAAGGAAAGAAUAUGUCAGAGGGGCAGGUGUUCAACGUUGUUGCACAUUACAAAAAUGUGAUGAGUUUUAAAACACCCAUGCCUGGGUCCCAUCUCUGGAGGCUCUGAUUUAAUUGGUUUGGAGAUGCAACUCAGGAAUCCAGGUUUUCCAAAAGAUUACCAAUUCUAAGUAAAGAACCAUUUCUAUACACCAUACGAUUAGUCCCAAAGUCUCUUGCAUGGCUUUUCUUCUUCUGAAUAUAUUUGAAUAUCCUCUCUUCAGUUUUCCCUUAACUGUUUUCUUAUUGUAACCAUUCUAAGGCUCUUUCCCCAUUCAUUAUGCCAAAAGAAACUCAGCAUUCCCAUAUGCCUUUGGUUAAAAACAUCAAUUUUCAAGUCUAGUUUGGCUCUAAUCUUCUCUGCAUAACUUUAGAGAACAUAUCAAAAGUAUUAUUCCUCUUUUGACUUUUUGCUAAACUAUUAUUUAUACUUCUUAUUGCAGUUUGCCUAACUCAGAAGAAGUUGUUGACAACAUUGCUUUGGCACCUUACAAGGAGUGACUUAUAUAUUGGAUUGCCUUCUUAUACUCCCCAGAAAGAGGAAAUCUCUUCUUUUGUGAUCCCUAAAGACUAAAACUCAACACAUACAAGAUGGGACUCAUUUUCUCUUCCUUCAUUCUACUCUGCCAUUUUUUCUGUAUUAUCAUCUGCAUUUUCUCAAAUCACAAGGACUGGAAAACUUUUGUUAUCAAGUCAGAAUUCUACAUUUCUCAUGCCUCCCUAUCUGUAAUGAAGUUCCAGAAUAGCACAAAAGCUAAGAGCACCAGCUCUGGAAUCAAACUGCCUGGGUUCAAAUCUCAGUUCCCCUGCUUCACAGCUGUGUGGUCUUGGGCCCCAGUUAUCUCUCUGUGAAACAGAACCUUCUCUUAGGCUUGCCAUGAGGGUAAGAUUAAAUAAUGCAUGUGAAGCCCUUGACACAGAGUAGUCGCCUAAUAAAUUAGAACUACUAUCCUACUUAACUCCCAAACUUCUCAAAUCUCCAUUCCCUCUUGUACUAACAUAACAAGAACUUUGGUCUCACACAUAACCUUUUCACUGGUUCCAUCUUUCGUCAUCUUAACCACCUACUUAUCAGUCUACAGCUUCUCAUUUCUAACUGAAGAGCCUCCCAAUUUUUCCUUUUUUUUUUUUUUUUUUUUUUUUACAAUUCAAGAGUCCUCAUGGCAGGGUCACAAUGUCCUUUUUCAAAUUUCUUUACUACAGCCUAUUGCCUGUAACUUCAAUACAAUUUCUAAUAUUUGCUUUCUUCCAACCAUGCUGACUAAUUUGCCCAUAUUCUUGAAUUUAUUCUUAUAUGUUCUCCCUGCCAAUAUCUCCCUACCUCUACCCAUAUGGUACCCAUUUCAUGUAGGAGCUCAAAUGCCGCUUAAGUCUUUACAUCCCUCAUCGUCUGGGAGUUUGUUUUCCCACCUGUAAUUCCCAUAAUUAACCUGUCUUUCACUUAGGAUGCUCGUCAACUUUCUCCCUUUCAUUAAACUUGCUCAUGUACCUAAUUCAUCUUCCUUAUGUACUUACAAACUACUUUGGAGAAGAAACCAUUUCUUUUCAUAUAUGUAUACUCCAUGUUAAUAUUCAUCGAAAAUGUAAAUGGGCAACAUUUUAAAGAAUGAAGAAACUAAAGAAGUAAAUAAACAAUGAAUGAAUAAAUGAAUUAAUGAGCUAUCAGACAAAAAUUAUUUCCCAGCAUGUGCUUCAUAAAUGGAGAAUAAAUUGGCAAGGCAAAACACCAAAAAAUUAUAAAAGAGAAUUAUUUUUUUUUUUUUGAGACAAAAUCUCACUCUGUUACCCAGGCUGGAGUGCAGUGGCUCAAUCUCCGCUCACUGCAAGCUCCACCUCCCAGGUUCACGCCAUUCUCCUGCGUCAGCUUCCCAAGUAGCUGGGACUACAGGCACCUGCCACCACGCCUGGUUAGUUUUUUGCAUUUUUAGUAGAGAUGGGGUUUCACCAUGUUAGCCAGGAUGGUUUCAAUCUGACCUCAUGAUCCGCCUGCCUCAGCUUCCCAAAGUGCUGGGAUUACAGGCAUGAGCCAACACCCCUGGUCAUAAAGGAG
rnacentral:lncRNA from 10 species